CAGAACAAAUGUGUUUGUGUUAUAUUAUAACUACAGCUCCCUGAGCAAGGAUGACAUCAAGGUAAAGAGUUUGGAGCUGGUUUAGAUAACAAAGCUGGUGAAUUGCUUAUUGGUGAUAGGCAAUGGCAUUUUGCACACUUAUCAUAGGUCAUCUUUUUGUACCAUUCUUUGCCUUCAUCAUAUAGCCAUGUUUCAAUCCAUUUGGUAUACUGUGAUUAAUGUUAAGUUUGAAUUUGCCUCAGCUUGUAUGCAACUAGAUCUCAGAUUUAUAUGUUGAAAGUUACCGAUAGAUGAAUAUUUUCAUAUUUUUCAUUUCAAAUUCAUGUCAUGUUGUCUUGUAUCAUUCAUAGUUGCACAAUUCAACUGUACUUCAACUAAU
rnacentral:misc_RNA from 1 species